AAUUUCUCGCAAAGGUGCACCAUCUUGGAGGAGUCCCUUAUAUUCUAAAAGUACUCCGACUAGGACUCGACGGUAGGUGCGUGCUUAUGGGAACAAAUUUUAUUAUAAAAACCACAUCUUUCAGAGUUUAAGUCCUAGAAGGCGACGUACCUAAAGGACCCUUUGUUUCAGUAUCCGUGCAUUCAAGUCUCGGUUCGGUUGAUGCGGUUAUCGUGAGUAGGUAUUUGGUCACUGCCCAUGUUUAUCGUAUUUCUUUACAUUGGUUGCAAAUAACCUUUUUCGUUGUGGUUUCUAAACCCUGGUUUUCGCCAAUCGUCACUGGUAACUUAUUCAAAGAAGUCGAACUCAACCCAAUUUUCGUGCCUUCCAUAAACGUGGUAGUGGCAGGAGUUUAUCUCACAAAAGAUGCCAGCGAGGUACUUAUCGUGUAUCGUCUCGGCGUGGAUUAUGAGGCCGUUGAGGGUAGUAUACUUUACCCAAGUUGCAGGUUAAUACUUUAGGAACCUUCUUUUCCUACUUAGCUUUAUAGCGACGAUGCGGUUUUGAGCCGCGUUUCUUGGUUGGUCUAACGGGGUUACCUAUUUAUUCCUUAUGUCUUUGUUUUUGUCGUUAACCUGGUCUCUUACUCUAACGUAAUAUUCCGGCGUUAACUUGUCUGGCUCGUUCAAGUUUAACCGCAUUGUACUUUGGAUAAUCACGUUUUCGGGGCACCUCUCGAUGUUUUCAGGUAUCUGGUGGAUUAACUGUGGUUGCUCAUUUUAGAGGAACACGAAGCCCGGGGGUAUCAUCGUUGUUUCUCACACGAUUUGAUAACCGUCCCCAUCUUUGACGACGCCAAUUCUUUAAUGUUGGAAGGUUUAUCCUUGAUCGGUUAGGUACCCAUAUGGUUCUUCAAUGUUUUCAACAGGGACAUUUGGUUGGGGGAUUUCGCUUUAUUCGUGUUCCUUUCUCGUUAUCCGGUCUGGUAGGAUGUUUUUUCUUUGCCAGGGAAGCAUUGGUCAGUAGGUAUCAUAGUUUAUCUAGUAAAAGAAGAAAUCCUUAAGAUGGUUCCCGAUAUCAGUAUCACUAGGAGGAUAAGUUAAUGAAGUUGGUAAAGGUUCGUGGAGUAUAGUGAAAGGUUCCGUAUACUAUCAAAAUAGUAGACACCUGCUAAAGAAAGAGGAAGUUACGGGAAAAAGUUACCAGAGCUUCUCUCUUUAAAGGGUAAAAAUAGAUACCUCAGUGUUGGCUCCAGCACCAUU
rnacentral:rRNA from 1 species